ensembl:misc_RNA 7SK 7SK RNA
AGAUAUGGCAAUUGAUUUCUGGCUCCUGAUGCCAUCUGCUCUUCAAUAUCCUGUCUUGCGUUGAUUUGGCUGAUCCGGCUCGCUAGGGAGGUAUCUCUUACCUCCCUCACCGAUCCAUAUGCAUCCUUCCUGAACCCACAGGUUUGGUUAAAGAACUCUGCCUUCCCCGACAGAGGAGGACCACUGUUUUGUCAAGGGAACAUGAAUUGCUGGGUUUCUCUCCUAGGACCUCCAAAUAACUCUCAAGAUCCUCUCUGGAGGGAAGCAUUUACUUAUAUCUUCUUUAUGCUCCUCAGA